GUGAACAAUUAAUAAAUUAUUUCCAAUAUUUACGGAAUAUAUCAGAAUGAUUAAUUUGAACGGAAAACAAUAAAAUAUUCUUUAGACGGAGCCUGAUCAUUCCUAUGGGAAUAAUCAGACUUCGUUACAUCCCCCCUGGUUCGGAAAAAUUCAAGUUACGGUGAAACAGAAAUUUGAAUUCUAAAAACAAACAAAAAAUAACCGAAUACUAUCCUGUCUUAUCACGCGGGAUAUAUGGGAAGUACGGGUCUGACUGUUACGUUACGCUAUCAAAGAUUAUAAUGCUGUUGUAGACAGUAUGACAUAUAAAAAUAAAACUUUGCUCUAUGAAUCGAUGUCAAAUUCAAACGUCGUCUUCUUUCUUCUGUCAUCCGGGGUGAUUUGAAUGUUUGGAAAUUUCUUCAUCUCGGGGUUGUGGAGUAGAACUCAUUCCCAUUUCCAUGAAGUUUCCAAGUGUCGGUGAAAAAUUCAAACGCCGUCUUCCUUCUUCGGUCAUCCGGGGUGAUUUGAAUGUGUACAUGUUUGGGGAAUUUCUUCAUCUCGGGGUUGUGGAGUAGAACUCAUUCCCAUUUCCAUGAAGUUUCCAAGUGUCGGUGAAAUAAUCUGAUGUCAGGUGUGGAUUAUCCCAUUCUCCGAGGGACGUCGAAGUUCCCAGUCAGAUGAGUCGAAACCAUUCCAAACUCAUUGAUAUACUGGUUGAUUUACCUGUGGAUAUUACAAGGAAUCAGUGACUGUAUGGUGAAAUUUUCAGAACGGUGAAAAUUCUUCCAGUUAUACAGUUUAAAUUAUCUAUAUGAAAAUUGCAAUGGAAUCCAGAUGUCCACCAGAGUAAUAAUUGACAGGUCAUGAUGUCCAAUUCUUCAAGUACUUCUUUCUUGGACGAUGACAUGAAUAAAUCUUCAGGAAUCAUGUCUUCGGUGGAAUUGGGCCUACAGCUGAUCAUCCGAUGAAAGGUGUGUUGCCUAUCUCCAGCAUUCAUUCUCAUCGGUCAUAAAUAACUGGUGAAAUCACCUUCACAACAAGAAAUGGCCCUUCAAACUUUGGAGCUAACUUAGAUGCGAAGUUAUUAACGGCGGAUGAUAGGUGAUGUGUACGACGAAGCACUUGAUCGCCUACCUGGAAACGAACUUCUCUACGUCGAAGGUUAUAGUUAUGAGCUUGUCGAUUAAAUGCCCUGUAUAGGUUGGUCCUUACAAACUCAUAGGCCUCCAGUAGGUGUUGAAUCUGCUCUGUACGGAUGUCGAAUGCUUCCUGCUGUGCUUGACCCCAGUUCCAUCGUUGCUUCUUCUUUAACAACUGUGUUAAUGGAGAAAUCACCUCGGAGAAGUUCUCAAUGAAGCGACGAUACCAACUGGCGACUCCCAAGAAUCUACG